rnacentral:rRNA from 1 species
GAUGAACGCUAGCGACAGGCCUAACACAUGCAAGUCGAGGGGCAGCACGAAUCAAGCUUGCUUGAUUUGGUGGCGACCGGCGCACGGGUGCGUAACAGGUGUGCAAUCUGUCCAUAAUCGGGGAAUAGCCCAGCGAAAGUUGGAUUAAUGCUCCAUGUGAGCAGGGGAGGCAUCUCCUUUGUUUGAAACGUAAGGAUUAUGGGUGAGCACGCUUCUGAUUAGGUAGUUGGUGAGGUAACGGCUCACCAAGCCGACGAUCAGUAGGGGUUCUGAGAGGAAGGUCCCCCACAUUGGAACUGAGACACGGUCCAAAACUCCUACGGGAGGCAGCAGUGAGGAAUAUUGGGUCAAUGGACGGAAGUCUGAACCAGCCAAGUCGCGUGAAGGAUGAAGGUUCUAUGGAUUGUAAACUUCUUUUGUCUGAGGGUAAAAAAGGCCACGUGUGGCUUCUUGCAAGUAUCAGACGAAUAAGCA